CGUGUAGGCGGAUUUUCAAGUCAGAUGUGAAAACCGGUGGCUCAACUGCCGGCCUGCAUCUGAUACUGUUAAUCUUGAGUACGGAAGAGGAAAGCGGAAUUCCAGGUGUAGCGGUGACAUGCGUAGAUAUCUGGAAGAACACCGGUGGCGAAGGCGGCUUUCUGGUCCGAUACUGACGCUGAGGCGCGAAAGCUAGGGGAGCAAACAGGAUUAGAUACCCUGGUAGUCC
rnacentral:rRNA from 1 species